rnacentral:rRNA from 1 species
AUUGAACGCUGGCGGCAUGCCUUACACAUGCAAGUCGAACGGUAACAGGCCGCAAGGUGCUGACGAGUGGCGAACGGGUGAGUAAUGCAUCGGAACGUGCCCAGUCGUGGGGGAUAACUGCUCGAAAGAGCAGCUAAUACCGCAUACGACCUGAGGGUGAAAGCGGGGGACCGUAAGGCCUCGCGCGAUUGGAGCGGCCGAUGUCAGAUUAGCUAGUUGGUGGGGUAAAGGCCUACCAAGGCAACGAUCUGUAGUUGGUCUGAGAGGACGACCAGCCACACUGGGACUGAGACACGGACCAGACUCCUACGGGAGGCAGCAGUGGGGAAUUUUGGACAAUGGGCGCAAGCCUGAUCCAGCAAUGCCGCGUGCAGGAAGAAGGCCUUCGGGUUGUAAACUGCUUUUGUCAGGGAAGAAAUCUUCUGGGCUAAUACCCCGGGAGGAUGACGGUACCUGAAGAAUAAGCACCGGCUAACUACGUGCCAGCAGCCGCCGCCG